rnacentral:rRNA from 1 species
AACGAACGCUGGCGGCAUGCCUAACACAUGCAAGUCGAACGAGACCUUCGGGUCUAGUGGCGCACGGGUGCGUAACGCGUGGGAACCUGCCCUUAGGUUCGGAAUAACUCCCCGAAAGGGGUGCUAAUACCGGAUAAUGUCUUCGGACCAAAGAUUUAUCGCCUUUGGAUGGGCCCGCGUUGGAUUAGCUAGUUGGUAGGGUAAAAGCCUACCUAGGCGACGAUCCAUAGCUGGUCUGAGAGGAUGAUCAGCCACACUGGGACUGAGACACGGCCCAGACUCCUACGGGAGGCAGCAGUGGGGAAUAUUGGACAAUGGGCGAAAGCCUGAUCCAGCAAUGCCGCGUGAGUGAUGAAGGCCUUAGGGUUGUAAAGCUCUUUUACCCGGGAUGAUAAUGACAGUACCGGGAGAAUAAGCUCCGGCUAACUCCGUG